GACGUAGGGCGCGAGCGUUGUCCGGAUUUAUUGGGCGCAAAGAGCUCGUAGGCGGCUUGUCGCGUCGUCCGUGAAAACCAGGGGCUCAACCCCUGGCUUGCGGUCGAUACGGGCAGGCUAGAGUUCGGUAGGGGAGACUGGAAUUCCUGGUGUAGCGGUGAAAUGCGCAGAUAUCAGGAGGAACACCGGUGGCGAAGGCGGGUCUCUGGGCCGAUACUGACGCUGAGGAGCGAAAGCGUGGGGAGCGAACAGG
rnacentral:rRNA from 1 species